rnacentral:tRNA from 1 species
GGCCAGAUAGCUUCAGUUGGUAGAGCACCUGACUAGAGAUUCAGGGGGCCCGGGUUCGAAUCCCGGUCUGGUCC